UACAGAGGGUGCGAGCGUUGUCCGGAAUCACUGGGCGUAAAGGGCGCGUAGGUGGUGGCUUAAGCGUGCGGUGAAAGCUCGGAGCUCAACUCCGAGUCGGCCGUGCGAACUGGGCUCACUGGAGCAUAGUAGAGGCAGGUGGAAUUCCGGGUGUAGCGGUGGAAUGCGUAGAGAUCCGGAAGAACACCGGUGGCGAAGGCGGCCUGCUGGGCUAACACUGACGCUCAGGCACGAAAGCGUGGGGAGCAAACAGG
rnacentral:rRNA from 1 species